UACGAAGGGGGCUAGCGUUGCUCGGAAUUACUGGGCGUAAAGCGCACGUAGGCGGCUUUCUAAGUCGGGGGUGAAAUCCUGGAGCUCAACUCCAGAACUGCCUUCGAUACUGGAGAGCUUGAGUCCGGGAGAGGUGAGUGGAACUGCGAGUGUAGAGGUGAAAUUCGUAGAUAUCGAGAGGAACACCGGUGGCGAAGGCGGCGAUCUGGACGAUGACUGACGCUGAGACGCGAAAGCGUGGGGAGCAAACAGG
rnacentral:rRNA from 1 species